UACGUAGGGGGCAAGCGUUGUCCGGAAUCAUUGGGCGUAAAGCGAGCGUAGGCGGCCCGAUAAGUCUGCUGUGAAAGUCAACGGCUCAACCGUUGAAAGCCGGUGGAUACUGUCGGGCUAGAGUUCGGAAGAGGCAAGUGGAAUUCCUGGUGUAGCGGUGGAAUGCGCAGAUAUCAGGAAGAACACCCCGUGGCUAAGGCGGUUCUCUAGUACGGGUACUGACGCUGAGACGCGAAAGCGUGGGGAGCGAACAGG
rnacentral:rRNA from 1 species